rnacentral:rRNA from 1 species
UACGGGGGGGGGAAGCGUUGUUCGGAAUUACUGGGCGUAAAGGGCUCGUAGGCGGCCAACUAAGUCAUACGUGAAAUCCCUCAGCUUAACUGGGGAACUGCGUGUGAUACUGGAUGGCUUGGAUUUGGGAGAGGGAUGCGGAAUUCCAGGUGUAGCGGUGAAAUGCGUAGAUAUCUGGAGGAACACCAAUGGCGAAGGCAGCUCGCUGGGACGGUACUGACGCUGAGACGCGAAAGCGUGGGGAGCAAACAGG